AACGAACGCUGGCGGCAGGCCUAACACAUGCAAGUCGAGCGAAGCCUUCGGGCUUAGCGGCGGACGGGUGAGUAACGCGUGGGAACGUGCCCUUUGCUACGGAAUAGCCCCGGGAAACUGGGAGUAAUACCGUAUGUGCCCUUCGGGGGAAAGAUUUAUCGGCAAAGGAUCGGCCCGCGUUGGAUUAGGUAGUUGGUGGGGUAAUGGCCUACCAAGCCGACGAUCCAUAGCUGGUUUGAGAGGAUGAUCAGCCACACUGGGACUGAGGCACGGCCCAGACUCCUACGGGAGGCAGCAGUGGGGAAUCUUAGACAAUGGGGGAAACCCUGAUCUAGCCAUGCCGCGUGAUCGAUGAAGGCCUUAGGGUUGUAAAGAUCUUUCAGUGGGGAAGAUAAUGACAGUAACCGGAGAAGAAGCCCCGGCUAACUUCGUGCCAGCCGCCGCGGUAAGAC
rnacentral:rRNA from 1 species